GGCGAUGUAGCCAAGUGGCAAGGCAAAGGUCUGCAAAACCUUGAAUCCCCGGUUCGAAUCCGGGUGUCGCCUCCA
rnacentral:tRNA from 1 species